AAACUAUCUAAACAGAAAAGGUAUUCAUAUUAAAUUGCAUUAAAUGGUAUUGUAUUUCAUACAUACCCGUAUGUAAAAAUGACGUGGCGACAAUCGGUUAUAUCUUUGUGAUUUUAUGAAACGAAAGUGGAAAUUCUUCUUAACCAAAAGGACAACUUUUUUUUCAAAUUUUAAAGGAUGAACAUCUAUUGUUUGAAUUUGUUUGAUCCUUGUCCAGUCAAUUAGAUAAUUGUCCAGUCAAUGUGAACCUUAUGCAGUCUAGUUGCUAUUUAAGGUCUGUGGAAGUGCAAUUGAUAUUCUUGUGUUUGAAGGAAAAAAUCACACCCUGUUUGUAGAAUACCUCAUUUAGGUUAUAAUGGAAAAUUGGAAUGGGAAUCUUUGUACAGCUUCUAGGAAGGGAGAUAUAGAAGAUGUGAAAAUAUGCCUAGAGAAUAAAGCAGACAUUGAUUAUCAUGAUGU